GUCUAAGGUCAUACCACCCAGAAUGUGCCUGAUCUUGUCUGAUCUCCGAAGCUAAGCAGGGUCAGUCCUGGUUAGCACUUGGAUGGGAGAAACCCCAACACUUAUGAAA
rnacentral:rRNA from 1 species